rnacentral:rRNA from 1 species
CGUACACUCCUACGGGAGGCAGCAGUGGGGAAUAUUGCACAAUGGGCGCAAGCCUGAUGCAGCCAUGCCGCGUGUAUGAAGAAGGCCUUCGGGUUGUAAAGUACUUUCAGCGGGGAGGAAGGCGAUAAGGUUAAUAACCUUGUCGAUUGACGUUACCCGCAGAAGAAGCACCGGCUAACUCCGUGCCAGCAGCCGCGGUAAUACGGAGGGUGCAAGCGUUAAUCGGAAUUACUGGGCGUAAAGCGCACGCAGGCGGUCUGUCAAGUCGGAUGUGAAAUCCCCGGGCUCAACCUGGGAACUGCAUUCGAAACUGGCAGGCUAGAGUCUUGUAGAGGGGGGUAGAAUUCCAGGUGUAGCGGUGAAAUGCGUAGAGAUCUGGAGGAAUACCGGUGGCGAAGGCGGCCCCCUGGACAAAGACUGACGCUCAGGUGCGAAAGCGUGGGGAGCAAACAGGAUUAGAAACCCCAGUAGUCCCAUGA